rnacentral:rRNA from 1 species
UACGGAGGGGGCUAGCGUUGCUCGGAAUUACUGGGCGUAAAGCGCACGUAGGCGGCUUUCUAAGUCGGGGGUGAAAUCCUGGAGCUCAACUCCAGAACUGCCUUCGAUACUGGAGAGCUUGAGUCCGGGAGAGGUGAGUGGAACGUGCGAGUGUAGAGGUGAAAUUCGUAGAUAUUCGCAAGAACACCAGUGGCGAAGGCGGCCU